UGGGGAAUUUUGGACAAUGGGGGAAACCCUGAUCCAGCCAUCCCGCGUGUGCGAUGAAGGCCUUCGGGUUGUAAGGCACUUUUGGCAGGAAAGAAACGUCGCGGGUUAAUACCCCGCGAAACUGACGGUACCUGCAGAAUAAGCACCGGCUAACUACGUGCCAGCAGCCGCGGUAAUACGUAGGGUGCAAGCGUUAAUCGGAAUUACUGGGCGUAAAGCGUGCGCAGGCGGUUCGGAAAGAAAGAUGUGAAAUCCCAGAGCUUAACUUUGGAACUGCAUUUUUAACUACCGGGCUAGAGUGUGUCAGAGGGAGGUGGAAUUCCGCGUGUAGCAGUGAAAUGCGUAGAUAUGCGGAGGAACACCGAUGGCGAAGGCAGCCUCCUGGGAUAACACUGACGCUCAUGCACGAAAGCGUGGGGAGCAAACAGGAUUAGAUACCCUGGUAGUCCACGCCCUAAACGAUGUCAACUAGCUGUUGGGGCCUUCGGCCUUGGUAGCGCAGCUAACGCGUGAAGUUGACCGCCUGGGGAGUACGGUC
rnacentral:rRNA from 1 species